GAUGAAGAACGUAGCAAAAUGCGAUAAGUAAUGUGAAUUGCAGAAUUCAGUGAAUCAUCGAAUCUUUGAACGCACAUUGCGCCCGCCAGUAUUCUGGCGGGCAUGCCUGUUCGAGCGUCAUUUCAACCCUCAAGCACAGCUUGGUGUUGGGACUCGCGUUAAUUCGCGUUCCCCAAAUUGAUUGGCGGUCACGUCGAGCUUCCAUAGCGUAGUAGUAGAACCCUCGUUACUGGUAAUCGUCGCGGCCACGCCGUUAAACCCCAACUUCUGAAUGUUGACCUCGGAUCAGGUAGGAAUACCCGCUGAACUUAAGCAUAUCAAUAAGCGGAGGA
rnacentral:misc_RNA from 1 species